rnacentral:rRNA from 1 species
UUGAACGCUGGCGGCAUGCUUUACACAUGCAAGUCGAACGGCAGCGGGGGCUUCGGCCUGCCGGCGAGUGGCGCACGGGUGCGUAACACGUGGGAAUAUGCCUUUUGGUACGGAACAACGUCUGGAAACGGACGCUAAUACCGUAUGGUCCCUUCGGGGUAAAGAUUUAUCGCCAAAAGAGUAGCCCGCGCUGGAUUAGCUAGUUGGUGAGGUAAUGGCUCACCAAGGCGACGAUCCAUAGCUGGUCUGAGAGGACGAUCAGCCACACUGGGACUGAGACACGGCCCAGACUCCUACGGGAGGCAGCAGUUAGGAAUAUUGGACAAUGGGGGCAACCCUGAUCCAGCCAUGCCGCGUGAGUGAUGAAGGCCUUCGGGUUGUAAAGCUCUUUAGCCGAUGAUUAUAAUGACUGUAGUCGGAAAAUAAGCCCCGGCUAACUUCGU